GGUGCUUUAGAUCCACCUAGAGGAGCCUGUUCUAGAACCGAUAACCCCCGUUCAACCUCACCCCUCUUUGUUAAUACCGCCUAUAUACCACCGUCGUCAGCUUACCCUGUGAGGGAUCAAUAGUAAGCUUAACUGGUACAACCCUAAACGUCAGGUCGAGGUGUAGCGUAUGGAGGGGGAAGAAAUGGGCUACAUUCGCUACAACAGCGAACACGAAUGAUGUCCUGAAACGUACAUCUGAAGGAGGAUUUAGCAGUAAGUAGAAAAUAGAGUGUUCUACUGAAAUUGGCCCUGAAGCGCGC
rnacentral:rRNA from 1 species